rnacentral:rRNA from 1 species
UACGUAGGGGGCAAGCGUUGUCCGGAUUUAUUGGGCGUAAAGAGCGUGUAGGCGGCCACACAGGUCUGCUGUGAAAACUCGAGGCUCAACCUCGAGCUGUCGGUGGAAACCGUGUGGCUAGAGUCCGGAAGAGGAGAGUGGAAUUCCCGGUGUAGCGGUGAAAUGCGCAGAUAUCGGGAAGAACACCCGUGGCGAAGGCGGCUUCCUGGACACCAACUGACGCUGAGACGCGAAAGCGUGGGGAGCAAACAGG